rnacentral:rRNA from 1 species
UACGUAGGGGGCAAGCGUUGUCCGGAUUUAUUGGGCGUAAAGAGCGUGUAGGCGGUUAUGCAGGUCCGCUGUGAAAACUGGAGGCUUAACCUCCAGACGUCGGUGGAAACCGUAUGACUAGAGUCCGGAAGAGGAGAGUGGAAUUUCGUGGUGUAGCGGUGAAAUGCGCAGAUAUCAGGAAGAACACCCGUGGCGAAGGCGGCUCUCUGGGACGGUACUGACGCUGAGACGCGAAAGCGUGGGGAGCGAACAGG